rnacentral:rRNA from 1 species
AUGGGAGCCUCAGCAGUCUCCCACCCUGCAUCGUCAUUGAGAAAUUCUGAAGAAUGCACAAGGGUUUGCAGCGAUCCGAUCCAGGCAGAGGAGGAGUCUGAAGCAUCAGUUAACCAGGGAGAUGAGCCCGUGAUACAUGAAAACUCAGGCAUCUCCACGGUGUCUCUGCAAGUGUCCAUGGUGAGUGGGGAUGCUGAACUGCGGAAGGAACAACAGCUCGCCGAGCAGAUGAUGGAGCAAGGGAUUCAUGGGUGUCCAGAUGGAGAGGAAGGGUUCGGAGAGCAUGAUCCUGCUGCUAAUCAAGUGGAGCUGGAGCAGGAGGAAUCCCUGAAGCUGAUGUUAACAGCGGAUGGCGAUGUGGAGGAAAGCAAUCGCCACAGCGCCAAACGUGCUAGAAAGAAUUUCUGA